UACGUAGGUGGCAAGCGUUGUCCGGAAUUAUUGGGCGUAAAGCGCGCGCAGGCGGUCCUUUAAGUCUGAUGUGAAAGCCCACGGCUCAACCGUGGAGGGUCAUUGGAAACUGGGGGACUUGAGUACAGAAGAGGAAAGCGGAAUUCCACGUGUAGCGGUGAAAUGCGUAGAGAUGUGGAGGAACACCUGUGGCGAAGGCGCCUUGCUGGCCGAUUUCUGACGCUGAGGCGCGAAAGCGUGGGGAGCAAACAGG
rnacentral:rRNA from 1 species